UAUUUAUUAAACUAGAUUUCGAAAACACCUUAAUUUUAUAUUUUAGGUUUUGAAUUUGUAAGAAUUCGCCUGUGUGCGCCGCGCCGCCUCCGUCCACAUCACAGUCGUGCCAUCUGCCGUUACCGACCGUUACUCAUAACCGAAGGAAGGCAUUUAUGCCGUUGCUUGUACAUACUACGUGCAUGUGUAUUUGUGGAACGCACACGGUGACUCGUUUACUCGUCGGCUUCAAUCAGCGGACCGUCAGUAGUGCCGCGCGACCGCGCGCAAUGGUGUCGCGCGUGUGUCGUUGUGCUUUGUUACGGCGGCAUCGAUCACGACGUGACUGCGCCUCCGCGUUCCCUAGGACGUGCUCGAGAAGUACCGCCCCGGCACGGACGACGCCACGGCGUCGACGUUGACGUCGCUGCGUGCUUAUGCGCCGAAUGAAAAAGGAGUUACUCCGCGGCAGACGAGAAAUGGCAUUGGCACUCACGUAACGGAGUCAUAUGCUUGUAAGUACGAUUAAUAAUUAUAUUAAUUUACAUAAUGUAUGCUUAUUAUAUUAAUAUACUAGACAAAUUAUAUCAAUAAUUUGAGCUGUAAUAAUUAAAUGAAAGAAACAAUACUUGAAUCCAACGUUUUCUCAUUCACACAAGAUAAAAGUCUCCUUUCGCACAGAAGAAUGCACCAUCUCGAAUGAUAAUUUGCUCUAAACAAUGUAAAAGCAGCAUUCAAGAAGUAACGUCAUUCUCAUCGAGCAAUCUAACGUAGAAAGCUGAUAGACGAAUAGAGAUAGGGGAACCUGAAAAAGAAACUUCUUGCAGAAAUUCAAUUCAUCUCGAGAAAAUUAGAAUACUCUGCACACAAAACUCUUCACCCGUCCUCUGAAACGAAUAACACGACACAGAAAUGAACUCUUC
rnacentral:misc_RNA from 1 species